GAAGAAGACCUUCCCCAAGCAUGAACCGACAAACUCUCCAACACCAAAAACUCAAAGGUGAAGCAUGCGAACUCCGAUUUCGAUGAACUUAAGUUUGACAAGAGGACGAACACAAACUCUAAAAACUGACAAAGAGAAGAGCCAAAUAAGAACCAAGAAAGAUGAUGCAAGGACACAAUGGUUUGAGCUCUCUACGAACAAUAUGAUCAAGGUACUUACUUGAGAGCCCCACUUAAUAGUACGUUAAUCGAUCCUAUAACCUGGUCUCCCAACUACCACCAUGAGACCGUUAAAUAGAAAAUCUAUCAAGGAAAAAAAUCUUUGCCUUGUGCAUAAUACACUUGCUCUCUAUGGUGAUGAUCUUGAACUCCUCAAGUUGGACCGCCUUUCUUGAUUGCGCUGGCUCAAUGAAGACUACUAGAUCCCCCUCCCCCCAAGUACUCCAUUAUGGGCGAGCCACUCUUCGACACAUCUUCACAAAUCCAUUGUCACCAUAAUGGAUGAUAAGCUUCAAGCAUGAUCUCUUAGUGAUGCUCCACUUGAACUUGCACACCACAAUCUUGAUGAUGAUCACCACUUGAUGUCAUCCUCCAUGGAUUAUAUGAGAUCUUCCUCUUGACACAAGCCCAUGGAAACAUACCUAACCCCACACAGAACUCUCACGUAGAUCAUGGGUUAGUACACAAAGCAUAAUGGACAGUCGAUCCUAUAACCCGGCCAACCUAUCAC
rnacentral:lncRNA from 1 species